GCCGGGGCAUGUUGGGCUGGGGCUCCCUCAGCAGCGGCAGCACCGAUACCUGGCAGCCCUUGGAUGCAGCCACGCCCCACAGCAGAUACCUCACACCGAACGGGCCGGGGAGGCUUGGCUUCAGACCCUGAGCCCAGUGCUGACUAGAGAGAAGCAGAAAGAGAGCACUCUCGAGGGACACAGACAGACAAUUCUCAAAGCCAACAGAGCUGGGGCAAAUUUUUCAACUUAAUAUUUUUCUUCCAAAGAGCCUGAGCUCAGUACUUGAAACCUGUAAGCUAAGGACAUCUUCCAAGCUUCAGAAGGAAAAAUCACAAGGGGCCUAUGACCAAAAGGAUAAGUGAGCUUCCGAGGGAGGCUGAUGUGGGAUUGCAGAAGCAGGAGCAUGGCCCUGUGCACCCUGCCAUCCCGCAGCCGGCGAGACAGAGAACGGGCUUGGGCCCGGGCAGGAGGGCUGCCGCCCUCACCUCUUCUCCCAGGAGGACAGGGAUGUGGGGGAAGCAGAGGAAUGUGAUUGUGGAGCGAGGGUGCGUUUGACAGUGCUGAAGUUUCGGGAGAGGCCCCAGCUCUCGCCCCCUCAAAACACAACAAAGGUCUGAGAGAGAAGAAUGCGCCCGCCGCCGCCCAGAACCCGUCCUGCAGGCACUGGCGUCCGUCUGUCCGGGGACCUUUAAUGAGCCACCUCAUUCCUAGGGUUGAUUCACCAGCGCCUGGCCCCGGCCUGGCCUCUGGGCUGGCAUUGCACCUUUCUCUGAGCCUGAGUUUCAGGCUCAAGUUGUCGGGGUCUGGCUGUCUACCCAGGCCUGUUCCCCUGCCGCCGGAGCUGUCUGUGCCCACAGGGCUGGGGGUGUGCAGGGGCGAUGGUGAGUUUCUGAUGCAGGCUCACCAGCUAUCGGAGACCUUGGCUGAGAAUUCAAAGCUAGAUGACAGCUUCCAUUUCUCAGUCCAGGUGGAGACAAACAGGAACCUCUACCCUCCUCUGCCUGUCAGUACUGGAUGGUGUGAGCGAGGUCCCCCAGCUGCACCACAGCAGGGCAGGAGACAGCAGUGGGUAUCCACAAAGAAGUUAACACUGUGCCUCGGCCCUCGCGCCAGGGUGCCCGCCCAGAACAGCGCUUCCUGUUGCAGCCCCCACCCGGCCAGGCACAGGCCCAGUGCCUCUGUGGGACUCUGUCCAGGACUUGUUGAAAUGGCCGAUGAUACAAAGGAGCCCCGACUUCACCCAUGGCCAGCUUCCCUCACCAUCCUCCCUGCGGCCAAAGGACUCGCCCUCACCUGUUCUUUCUGAGACAAAUCAUCUGCCAGGUUUCCGCCUCAGGACACCCAAGCUCAGUACAGACAGCCUAGCAGCCUGGUGACAGGAUCCUGGGGGACAGGAUUCUCUCCUUGCCAUGGGGAUGAGGACAAAUUCUCCCUUCAUCCUUGAGAUUGGACUCCC